rnacentral:rRNA from 1 species
GGGCAGUGGCGGCAGCUAUACAUGCAAGUCGAACGCUUCUUUUUCCACCGGAGCUUGCUCCACCGGAAAAAGAGGAGUGGCGAACGGGUGAGUAACACGUGGGUAACCUGCCCAUCAGAAGGGGAUAACACUUGGAAACAGGUGCUAAUACCGUAUAACAAUCGAAACCGCAUGGUUUUGAUUUGAAAGGCGCUUUCGGGUGUCGCUGAUGGAUGGACCCGCGGUGCAUUAGCUAGUUGGUGAGGUAACGGCUCACCAAGGCGACGAUGCAUAGCCGACCUGAGAGGGUGAUCGGCCACAUUGGGACUGAGACACGGCCCAAACUCCUACGGGAGGCAGCAGUAGGGAAUCUUCGGCAAUGGACGAAAGUCUGACCGAGCAACGCCGCGUGAAGUGAAGAAAGGUUUUUCGGAUCGUAAAAACUCUGUUGUUAGAGAAGAACAAGGAUGAGAGUAACUGUUCAUCCCUUGACGGUAUCUAACCAGAAAGCCACGGCUAACUACGUGCCAGCAGCCGCGGUAAUACGUAGGUGGCAAGCGUUGUCCGGAUUUAUUGGGCGUAAAGCGAGCGCAGGCGGUUUCUUAAGUCUGAUGUGAAAGCCCCCGGCUCAACCGGGGAGGGUCAUUGGAAACUGGGAGACUUGAGUGCAGAAGAGGAGAGUGGAAUUCCAUGUGUAGCGGUGAAAUGCGUAGAUAUAUGGAGGAACACCAGUGGCGAAGGCGGCUCUCUGGUCUGUAACUGACGCUGAGGCUCGAAAGCGUGGGGAGCAAACAGGAUUAGAUACCCUGGUAGUCCACGCCGUAAACGAUGAGUGCUAAGUGUUGGAGGGUUUCCGCCCUUCAGUGCUGCAGCUAACGCAUUAAGCACUCCGCCUGGGGAGUACGACCGCAAGGUUGAAACUCAAAGGAAUUGACGGGGGCCCGCACAAGCGGUGGAGCAUGUGGUUUAAUUCGAAGCAACGCGAAGAACCUUUACCAGGUCUUGAACAUCCUUUUGACCACUCUAGAGAUAGAGCUUUCCYCUUCGGGGGCAAAGUGACARGUGGUGCAUGGGUUGUCGUCAGCUCGUGUCGUGAGAUGUUGGGUUAAGUCCCGCAACGAGCGCAACCCUUAUUGUUAGUUGCCAUCAUUUAGUUGGGCACUCUAGCAAGACUGCCGGUGACAAACCGGAGGAAGGUGGGGAUGACGUCAAAUCAUCAUGCCCCUUAUGACCUGGGCUACACACGUGCUACAAUGGGAAGUACAACGAGUCGCAAAGUCGCGAGGCUAAGCUAAUCUCUUAAAGCUUCUCUCAGUUCGGAUUGUAGGCUGCAACUCGCCUACAUGAAGCCGGAAUCGCUAGUAAUCGCGGAUCAGCACGCCGCGGUGAAUACGUUCCCGGGCCUUGUACACACCGCCCGUCACACCACGAGAGUUUGUAACACCCGAAGUCGGUGAGGUAACCUUUGGAGCCAGCCGCCUAAGUGAUAAAAGU